GACGAACGCUGGCGGCGUGCUUAACACAUGCAAGUCGAACGGAAAGGCCCUGCUUUUGUGGGGUGCUCGAGUGGCGAACGGGUGAGUAACACGUGAGUAACCUGCCCUUGACUUUGGGAUAACUUCAGGAAACUGGGGCUAAUACCGGAUAGGAGCUCCUGCUGCAUGGUGGGGGUUGGAAAGUUUCGGCGGUUGGGGAUGGACUCGCGGCUUAUCAGCUUGUUGGUGGGGUAGUGGCUUACCAAGGCUUUGACGGGUAGCCGGCCUGAGAGGGUGACCGGCCACAUUGGGACUGAGAUACGGCCCAGACUCCUACGGGAGGCAGCAGGGGGGAAUAUUGCACAAUGGGCGGAAGCCUGAUGCAGCAACGCCGCGUGCGGGAUGACGGCCUUCGGGUUGUAAACCGCUUUCGCCUGCGACGAAGCGUGAGUGACGGUAAUGGGUAAAGAAGCACCGGCUAACUACGUG
rnacentral:rRNA from 1 species